CGGGGAACUGAAACAUCUAAGUACCCGGAGGAAGAGAAAGCAAACGCGAUUUCCCAAGUAGCGGCGAGCGAAACGGAAUUAGCCCAAACCAAGAGGCUUGCCUCUUGGGGUUGUAGGACACUCUAUACGGAGUUACAAAGGAACGGGGUAGAUGAAGCGACCUGGAAAGGUCCGUCAGAGAAGGUAAAAACCCUGUAGUCGAAACUUCGUUCCCUCCAGAGUGGAUCCUGAGUACGGCGGGACACGAGAAAUCCCGUCGGAAGCAGGGAGGACCAUCUCCCAAGGCUAAAUACUCCCUAGUGACCGAUAGUGAAGCAGUACCGUGAGGGAAAGGUGAAAAGCACCGCGGAAGCGGAGUGAAAAAGAACCUGAAACCGUGCGCUUACAAGAAGUCAGAGCCCGUUAAUGGGUGAUGGCGUGCCUUUUGUAGAAUGAACCGGCGAGUUACGAUCCCGUGCAAGGUUAAGUUGAAGAGACGGAGCCGCAGCGAAAGCGAGUCUGAAUAGGGCGAUUUAGUACGUGGUCGUAGACCCGAAACCAGGUGAUCUACCCAUGUCCAGGGUGAAGUUCAGGUAACACUGAAUGGAGGCCCGAACCCACGCACGUUGAAAAGUGCGGGGAUGAGGUGUGGGUAGCGGAGAAAUUCCAAUCGAACUCGGAGAUAGCUGGUUCUCCCCGAAAUAGCUUUAGGGCUAGCCUCGAGUAUGAGAGUCGUGGAGGUAGAGCACUGAUUGGACUAGGGGCCCUCAUCGGGUUACCGAAUUCAGUCAAACUCCGAAUGCCAAAGACUUGCUCCUUGGGAGUCAGACAGCGAGUGCUAAGAUCCGUUGUCAAGAGGGAAACAGCCCAGACCAUCAGCUAAGGUCCCCAAGUGUGUGUUAAGUGGGAAAGGAUGUGGAGUUGCUAAGACAACCAGGAUGUUGGCUUAGAAGCAGCCACCAUUUAAAGAGUGCGUAAUAGCUCACUGGUCGAGUGACUCUGCGCCGAAAAUGUACCGGGGCUAAACGUAUCACCGAAGCUGUGGACUGUUCUUACGAACAGUGGUAGGAGAGCGUUCUAAGGGCGUUGAAGCUAGACCGUAAGGACUGGUGGAGCGCAUUCAAGUGAGAAUGCCGGUAUGAGUAACGAAAAGACAAGUGAGAAUCUUGUCCGCCGAAAGCCUAAGGGUUCCUGAGGAAGGCUCGUCCGCUCAGGGUAAGUCGGGACCUAAGGCGAGGCCGAAAGGCGUAGUCGAAGGACAACAGGUUGAUAUUCCUGUACCACCUCCUCACCAUUUGAGCAAUGGGGGGACGCAGGAGGAUAGGGCAAGCGCGCUGUUGGAUAUGCGCGUCCAAGCAGUUAGGCUG
rnacentral:ncRNA from 1 species